rnacentral:rRNA from 1 species
AAGAGGGAAGAAUGGCCCGUGGAAAAGCGGGCGUGACGGUACCUUUUGAAUAAGCCCCGGCUAACUAUGUGCCAGCAGCCGCGGUAAUACAUAGGGGGCAAGCGUUAUCCGGAAUUAUUGGGCGUAAAGGGUGCGUAGGUGGCCAUUUAAGUCUUUGGUGUAAGUUCAGCGCUCAACGCUGUGAUGCUAAAGAAACUGGGAGGCUUGAGUGUGGUAGAGGCAAGUGGAAUUCCAUGUGUAGCGGUAAAAUGCGUAAAUAUAUGGAGGAACACCGGUGGCGAAGGCGGCUUGCUGGGCCACAACUGACACUGAGGCACGAAAGCGUGGGGAGCAAACAGGAUUAGAUACC